CUCUGUCUUCAGUCCUCAAGGAGGAAUAUAUGAAGCGCCAUUAUCCAACACCCUCUAAUGGCCCCAACACCGCCCAUGGAUCGCUAGUCGUGGUGGUGGUGGCAACAUGCUCGAUAAGUUCGUCAAUGUUCAUUUCAUUUCGGAGCCUAGUCGGGCUAUUGAUUGUUGAAGCUAGCCAUGGUGGGUGGCUCAGACCUCGAGUUGCCAACUAAAAAGAAGUUCUAUCUGGUUCGGCUACAACCAAUACUAGUGAAGACUCGAUUGGCUGUGGUGGGGUUAAACCGUCUGCCGCCCCCUUUCUCAUUUUUCUCCGGUAGGCCUCAUUCCAUCAACCUCCAUCUUCCCAAGAACUCAUCUCUGAAGGUGCAGGCCGUCAUUUCCCCCUCUUCUUCAAAGCCAUGAUCCAUGUCGUUCUUUAGCGAGUCAUGGUGUUUGGUUGGAAUAAGCUGCAAUCUUUUGUGCCUUUUAUUUGGUCAAAAGAGCAGAAGGAGGGAGAAAUGGGUGCUGUGUCGGAGGAGAGGCAAUGGUUUUACCAUUUUCAGUUUUGGAAGGAGAGGACCUGGUUUUGGUGUUGGGUGUGCAUACAGGAGAAAGGAAUAGUGACGAAAGGGGAGGUGGAUGCAGCGCCAGAGAAGGAAGCGUUCCGGCGAUAAAAGUAUAAAUGGUGACUAGAGUUAGGGUUAUAGUAGAAAAGGAAUUUGAUAAUUUGUAAUAUUGGUCAAUGUUCAUGGCAUUUCAUAAAGACGUAAGAGUACGUGGUCCAAUUUAUCUUCUUGU